UACGUAGGGUGCGAGCGUUAUUCGGAAUUACUGGGCGUAAAGCGUGCGCAGGCGGGCUUUUAAGCCAGACGUGAAAUCCCCGGGCUUAACCUGGGAAUGGCGUUUGGGACUGGGAGUCUGGAGUGCGGCAGAGGAGACUGGAAUUCCUGGUGUAGCAGUGAAAUGCGUAGAUAUCAGGAGGAACACCGAUGGCGAAGGCAGGUCUCUGGGCUGACACUGACGCUCAUGCACGAAAGCGUGGGGAGCAAACGGG
rnacentral:rRNA from 1 species